rnacentral:lncRNA from 1 species
AUAUUUGCCGCAUUAAAACUUCAAAUUCAACAAAGUCUAAAAUCACACACAGCUAUUCUAGUUUUUCAUUGCUCUUUCUAAGGAGCACACAGGGGUGUCCCACUAUGAAAGGAAAGGAGUCAUAGGGUCUUCUUAUCAGAGGGGGAGGCUCAGCUUAUGGACCCCAGCACAUGACCUCACUUCCUUGGCGACAGGUCCAAACAGAACUCGGAACCCUGGAGUCACUGGGCACCACAGUCUCGCCAAGGCUGCCUAACAGCCACUUGGCUGGAGAGAGUCAGCAGCGAACAUGCUGUGCUGCUUUCCCAGGCCUCGAGGCCACAGCCUCAGGACCCCGCCCAGACUGGCCACCACACACUCGGAGCCACUGAGUCCAGGACAGGACCAUUUAGGAUUGGCCACCUCUAUUGGAAAUCAAGUGGCUGAGAGCCUGGCAGAGCUCUGCAUGGUGAGGACAGUGGAGCCAGGCAUGCCUCACACCCUGAUGGAGCCCCCGGAGAAGGCCUUCUUGGGUAGCUGCCCCAUCUGGGGCGCCUCCUCCCCAGACCCCUCCAGGGCCUCCAUUUCCUCCCCAGAGGAGGGGAUGGUGGGAAGGUCCACAUCCUCUGCCCUUGACUCCUUACUAGAGCUGAGCAGAGCGCCCAGGGGGAUUCACCAACUGAAAUUCUCCUGAGUCAGCAAGAGCACACUGAGCCCACUGAGGCUGAGCCCAAGGUUGAGGAGGACUGGGAAAUGAGCCUGUGGAUAUGUGGGUAGGGGAUGGGCCUUUGGACACAGAGAGAGCUUCCAGGUUCUGGGUGACCUGGGAAUACUGAGACCCUCAGCAGUUGGUGGGUGGAUGCAGGCUGAGAAGACUUCCUGGGGGUGGCUGUGUGCACAGAGCUCUCUGACAGGCAGCGGGAAGGUUUUUUUCUUCCUUACACAACCCAUUGCAGACACAUGUAGAGCUUACUGUUUAAGAUACUCACAAGCAGCUCACC